GAGUUGUUCUGUGAGAAAGAAUGACAUUGGAGUGGUGACCAGUGGACCUGGGCUCGUUUCUCAAGCAUUAAUUUGGUUUCUUUACACUUCUCAGGGGCACUUGCCAUGGGGGCCUGCAGUCUGCUGGCAAGGAAGAUAGUCGAUUUUUCCAAGCAAUGCAGGCCCCAUGGAGUCCUGGAUUUGGUGUGACCUAGCAGCCACAGUGCACCCCGUGCUGGUGGACAGCUCAAUACGGACACAUUGUCAUGAGAAGUCCACCGCUUGCUGCCAAGGAAGUUGGGCAAUUCUUCUGACCAACAGAGGCCACGUUGAGUCCUUGAUUCCAUGUGUCCUGACAUCUACAGUGCCCCCCAUGCUGGUGUGUGGCUCAGGAUGGUAAUGAUUCCUUUUCCCCCAUGUGCUAAGUGGGGUGUCUUUGUGAUUGUGAUUUCCAUGACCUGCAAGGAACUGUUUCUCAAAUGGCAUGGCAAGCUCCACUCCUAAAGUGAACGAUCUGUGCCCAUUGCUCGGUGGCAUAGCUCUGGGUCCCACAGGGUGCCGAAGGUCUUUAAAGUCAUCGGCUUGCCCACUGCCCAGCCUGUGGUGUCAAACGUUCUGUCUCUUUAAAUGUGCUUGGAUCGAUGAUGAGUCCUAUAAAAAAACAUUCCUUGGAAAAGCUGAACAAAAUGAGUGAAAACUCAUACCGUCGCUCUCAUCGGAACUGAGGUCCAGCACAUUGCCUCCCCCGGGGAAUGUAGGAGGGAGGGACAGCUUCACUGAUUCCCAUAGGUUCUGCCACCCAGGGUGUCCAGUGGUGACCAGUGGGCCUGAGUAUGUUUCCUCAAGAAUGCAUUUGAUUUAUUUACACUUGUCAGGAGCAGUUGCUGUGGAAGGCCCUGUCUACUGGCAAGGAAGAUGGUUAAUUCUUCCAAGCAAUGAAGGCCCCACCGAGUCCUGGUUUUGGUGUGGCCUGGCCUCCAUGGUGCGCCCCAUGCUGGUGGACAACUCAAUAUGGUAAGCAUUCCUCUGACCCUCAUCAUGAGUGCUGGGUGUCUUUUGGAUUUUUGAGACCCACAAGGAGCAGUUCCUAAGCAGGCCAUUAAGGGCACGGCCGAGGUCUUUAAGGUCAUGGGCUUGCCCACUGCCCAGCCUGUCGCCUGUCGUGCCAUAUGCCCUGCCUCUUCCAAUGUGCUUGGAUCAAUGAUGAGUCCUCCCAAAAAAACAUUCCUUGGAAAAGCUGAACAAAAUGAGUGAAAACUCAUACCGUCGCUCUCAUCGGAACUGAGGUCCAGCACAUUGAAGAGAAUUAAGUGCUGAUCAUUGGACCUGGGCCCAUUUCUCAGGCGCAUAUUUGAUUUCUUUACACUUCUCAGGAGCAGUUGUCGUGACAGGUCCAUUGC
rnacentral:lncRNA from 13 species